rnacentral:rRNA from 1 species
GAUGAACGCUGGCGGCGUGCCUAAUACAUGCAAGUCGAGCGAACGGACGAGAAGCUUGCUUCUCUGAUGUUAGCGGCGGACGGGUGAGUAACACGUGGAUAACCUACCUAUAAGACUGGGAUAACUUCGGGAAACCGGAGCUAAUACCGGAUAAUAUUUUGAACCGCAUGGUUCAAAAGUGAAAGACGGUCUUGCUGUCACUUAUAGAUGGAUCCGCGCUGCAUUAGCUAGUUGGUAAGGUAACGGCUUACCAAGGCAACGAUGCAUAGCCGACCUGAGAGGGGGAUCGGCCGCACUGGAACUGAGACACGGUCCAGACUCCUACGGGAGGCAGCAGUAGGGAAUCUUCCGCAAUGGGCGAAAGCCUGACGGAGCAACGCCGCGUGAGUGAUGAAGGUCUUCGGAUCGUAAAACUCUGUUAUUAGGGAAGAACAUAUGUGUAAGUAACUGUGCACAUCUUGACGGUACCUAAUCAGAAAGCCACGGCUAACUACGUG